UUGGGCGUAAAGCGUCUGCAGGUGGCUUUUUAAGUCCGCCGUCAAAUCCCAGGGCUCAACCCUGGACAGGCGGUGGAAACUACCAAGCUGGAGUAUGGUAGGGGCAGAGGGAAUUUCCGUUGGAGCGGUGAAAUGCGUAGAGAUCGGAAAGAACACCAACGGCGAAAGCACUCUGCUGGGCCGACACUGACACUGAGAGACGAAAGCUAGGGGGGCGAAUGGGAUUAGAUACCCCAGUAGUCCUAGCCGUAAACAAUGGAUACUAGGCGUUGUGCGUAUCGCCCCGUGCAGUGCUGUACAUAACGGGUAUACACU
rfam:Nicotiana attenuata strain TT chromosome 9, whole genome shotgun sequence.